rnacentral:rRNA from 1 species
AUUGAACGCUGGCGGCAUGCUUUACACAUGCAAGUCGAACGGUAACAGGGAGCUUGCUCCGCUGACGAGUGGCGAACGGGUGAGUAAUGCGUCGGAACGUGCCGAGUAGUGGGGGAUAACGCAUCGAAAGGUGUGCUAAUACCGCAUACGAACUGAGGUUGAAAGUGGGGGACCUUCGGGCCUCACGCUAUUCGAGCGGCCGACGUCUGAUUAGCUAGUUGGUGAGGUAAAGGCUCACCAAGGCGACGAUCAGUAGCGGGUCUGAGAGGAUGAUCCGCAACACUGGGAGUGAGACACGGCCCAGACUCCUACGGGAGGCAGCAGUGGGGAAUUUUGGACAAUGGGCGCAAGCCUGAUCCAGCCAUGCCGCGUGCCUGAAGAAGGCCUUCGGGUUGUAAAGGACUUUUGUCCGGGAGCAAAUGCUGGUGGCUAACAUCCACCGGAGCUGAGAGUACCGGAAGAAUAAGCACCGGCUAACUACGUGCCAGCAGCCGCCGUAAGAC